UACGAAGGGGGGCUAGCGUUGUUCGGAAUUACUGGGCGUAAAGCGCACGUAGGCGGACAUUUAAGUCAGGGGUGAAAUCCCGGGGCUCAACCCCGGAACUGCCUUUGAUACUGGGUGUCUAGAGUAUGGAAGAGGUGAGUGGAAUUCCGAGUGUAGAGGUGAAAUUCGUAGAUAUUCGGAGGAACACCAGUGGCGAAGGCGGCUCACUGGUCCAUUCUGACGCUGAGGUGCGAAAGCGUGGGGAGCAAACAGGG
rnacentral:rRNA from 1 species